GUAAUUCCGGUGAAGAUGCCGGAUACCUGCGACAGGACGGAAAGACCCCAUGGAGCUUUACUGUAGCUUGACAUUGGGUCUUGGUACUACAUGUACAGGAUAGGUGGGAGGCUUUGAAACCAGGACGCCAGUUUUGGCGGAGCCAUCCUUGGGAUACCACCCUUGUAGUACUGGGACUCUAACCAUAGGCCAUGAAUCUGGUCUUGGGACACUGUCAGGUGGGCAGUUUGACUGGGGCGGUCGCCUCCCAAAAGGUAACGGAGGCGCGCAAAGGUUCUCUCAGUACGGUCGGAAAUCGUACGUAGAGUGUAAAGGCAAAAGAGAGCUUGAUUGCAAGACAUACAGGGCGAGCAAGGAUGAAAAUCGGACUUAGUGAUCCGGUGGUUCUGCGUGGAAGGGCCAUCGCUCAACGGAUAAAAGCUACCCUGGGGAUAACAGGCUUAUCUCCCCCAAGAGUCCACAUCGACGGGGAGGUUUGGCACCUCGAUGUCGGCUCAUCAC
rnacentral:rRNA from 1 species